rnacentral:rRNA from 1 species
GACGAACGCUGGCGGCGUGCCUAAUACAUGCAAGUAGAACGCAGUUGCGCACGGGUGAGUAACGCGUAGGUAACUGCCUCAUAGCGGGGGAUAACUAUUGGAAACGAUAGCUAAUACCGCAUACUGUGCGCUGGACAUGCGUAGUAUGAGCUAGUUGGUGAGGUAAAGGCUCACCAAGGCGACGUUACCUAGCCGACCUGAGAGGGUGAUCGGCCAAACGGGAACUGAGGCACGCCCCUGACUCCGGAGGGAGGAAGCAGUAGGGAAUCUUCGGGAAUGGACGGAAUGCUGACCGAGCAACGCCGCGUGAGUGAAGAAGGUUUGCGGAUCGGAAAGGUCUGUUGUUAGAGAAGCGGUAACUAACGAGAAAGGGACGGCUAACUACGUGCCAGCAGCCGCGGUAAUUC